rnacentral:rRNA from 1 species
GGGUUGUGAGGUUAAGCGACUAAGCGUACACGGUGGAUGCCCUGGCAGUCAGAGGCGAUGAAGGGCGUGCUAAUCUGCGAUAAGCGCCGGUAAGGUGAUAUGAACCGUUAUAACCGGCGAUACCCGAAUGGGGAAACCCAGUGUGACUCGUCACACUAUCAUUAACUGAAUCCAUAGGUUAAUGAGGCGAACCGGGGGAACUGAAACAUCUAAGUACCCCGAGGAAAAGAAAUCAACCGAGAUUCCCCCAGUAGCGGCGAGCGAACGGGGAGGAGCCCAGAGCCUGAAUCAGCAUGUGUGUUAGUGGAAGCGUCUGGAAAGGCGCGCGAUACAGGGUGACAGCCCCGUACACAAAAGCGCAUGUGCUGUGAGCUCGAUGAGUAGGGCGGGACACGUGGUAUCCUGUCUGAAUAUGGGGGGACCAUCCUCCAAGGCUAAAUACUCCUGACUGACCGAUAGUGAACCAGUACCGUGAGGGAAAGGCGAAAAGAACCCCGGCGAGGGGAGUGAAAAAGAACCUGAAACCGUGUACGUACAAGCAGUGGGAGCCCCACCACCAAAGCAUUCUCUGGUGUUGAAGGCCCUGCAAAGCAGCAUCGCGGUGGCGGAGCGUCGUUUGCGACGCCCAACACAAAAAACAAGCGGUGAGUGCUUUGGGGUGGGGUGACUGCGUACCUUUUGUAUAAUGGGUCAGCGACUUAUAUUCUGUAGCAAGGUUAACCGAAUAGGGGAGCCGUAGGGAAACCGAGUCUUAACUGGGCGUUAAGUUGCAGGGUAUAGACCCGAAACCCGGUGAUCUAGCCAUGGGCAGGUUGAAGGUUGGGUAACACUAACUGGAGGACCGAACCGACUAAUGUUGAAAAAUUAGCGGAUGACCUGUGGCUGGGGGUGAAAGGCCAAUCAAACCGGGAGAUAGCUGGUUCUCCCCGAAAGCUAUUUAGGUAGCGCCUCGUGAAUUCAUCUCCGGGGGUAGAGCACUGUUUCGGCUAGGGGGCCAUCCCGGCUUACCAACCCGAUGCAAACUGCGAAUACCGGAGAAUGUUAUCACGGGAGACACACGGCGGGUGCUAACGUCCGUCGUGAAGAGGGAAACAACCCAGACCGCCAGCUAAGGUCCCAAAGUCAUGGUUAAGUGGGAAACGAUGUGGGAAGGCCCAGACAGCCAGGAUGUUGGCUUAGAAGCAGCCAUCAUUUAAAGAAAGCGUAAUAGCUCACUGGUCGAGUCGGCCUGCGCGGAAGAUGUAACGGGGCUAAACCAUGCACCGAAGCUGCGGCAGCGACGCUGAUGCGUUGUUGGGUAGGGGAGCGUUCUGUAAGCCUGUGAAGGUGGCCUGUGAGGGUUGCUGGAGGUAUCAGAAGUGCGAAUGCUGACAUAAGUAACGAUAAAGCGGGUGAAAAGCCCGCUCGCCGGAAGACCAAGGGUUCCUGUCCAACGUUAAUCGGGGCAGGGUGAGUCGACCCCUAAGGCGAGGCCGAAAGGCGUAGUCGAUGGGAAACGGGUUAAUAUUCCCGUACUUGGUGUUACUGCGAAGGGGGGACGGAGAAGGCUAUGUUGGCCGGGCGACGGUUGUCCCGGUUUAAGCGUGUAGGUGUGUGUUCCAGGUAAAUCCGGUUCACUUUAACACUGAGGCGUGACGACGAGGCACUACGGUGCUGAAGCAACAAAUGCCCUGCUUCCAGGAAAAGCCUCUAAGCAUCAGGUAACAUCAAAUCGUACCCCAAACCGACACAGGUGGUCAGGUAGAGAAUACCAAGGCGCUUGAGAGAACUCGGGUGAAGGAACUAGGCAAAAUGGUGCCGUAACUUCGGGAGAAGGCACGCUGACACGUAGGUGAAGUGAUUUACUCAUGGAGCUGAAGUCAGUCGAAGAUACCAGCUGGCUGCAACUGUUUAUUAAAAACACAGCACUGUGCAAACACGAAAGUGGACGUAUACGGUGUGACGCCUGCCCGGUGCCGGAAGGUUAAUUGAUGGGGUCAGCGCAAGCGAAGCUCCUGAUCGAAGCCCCGGUAAACGGCGGCCGUAACUAUAACGGUCCUAAGGUAGCGAAAUUCCUUGUCGGGUAAGUUCCGACCUGCACGAAUGGCGUAAUGAUGGCCAGGCUGUCUCCACCCGAGACUCAGUGAAAUUGAACUCGCUGUGAAGAUGCAGUGUACCCGCGGCAAGACGGAAAGACCCCGUGAACCUUUACUAUAGCUUGACACUGAACAUUGAGCCUUGAUGUGUAGGAUAGGUGGGAGGCUUUGAAGUGUGGACGCCAGUCUGCAUGGAGCCGACCUUGAAAUACCACCCUUUAAUGUUUGAUGUUCUAACGUGGACCCGU